rnacentral:misc_RNA from 1 species
CCGUAGGUGAACCUGCGGAGGGAUCAUUACAGAGUUCAUGCCCUACCGGGUAGAUCUCCCACCCUAUGUUAUUAUUACUUUGUUGCUUUGGCGGGCCGUUAGGCUCCGGCCCGACUACCGGCCCCGGCUGGUAAGCGCCCGCCAGAGGGCCCAAAACCCUGAAUAUUAGUGUCGUCUGAGUACUAUAUAAUAGUUAAAACUUUCAACAACGGAUCUCUUGGUUCUG